CGGCUCGUGUUCGUCACUUGUGAUCUCUCUUGCUCUUAUUUCGUGUUCAGCGACUGAUUUGAUUUUGCACUGACUUCAACGCAGACCUGAGAAAUUUACUUCUCUGCAUGUGGUGCAAUAGUGGAUGCAGAGGCGAGUGUGUUUUUGUGGAGAGGCCGUUGGUUUGACCAUCGUUAACUUUUGGUGCGGAAAAAUGGACGCCUAAGCUUGCGUGCAAGUUUUCCUCGCAUCUUCCUUUCUGAAAAGCUGUACGGAUAAGUGUGGUCGUCUUGAGUUGUGAUUAAGUUCCUCUGGAUUUACUGGCUCUGUACAUCACAGCCUCUGCUAAAUUUUAAGGCAAGUACAAGUGAAGAUAACGUCGAAGACGUGCCGUGCUCCCCUUUCAUCAUUGGCAAAGGGCAGCCGCCGCACUCAACCCUGACAGAGGGAGCAAGGUCGAGAAGUCAAGGAAGCACCGCUGCCUCACACCACAAAUGACCAACUUAAAGCUCUGCGAGACUAUGAAUGCUAAGUGUUUCAACGAAAAAAUUGCAGUGUCAUUAUGAAUAUACCGUAUUUACUUGAAUAUAAGCCGAUUUUUUUUUUUCGAAAAAAUGAUGUGCGAAAGUGGGGGGGGGGGGUGUCGGCUUAGAUUCGAGUAUAAUGCUUAAGCUUUUUUUUUCUGGCCUUGCGCAUUUCGUGGGUCGGCUUAUAAUCGGGGCCGGCCUAGAUUCGAGUAAAUACGGUAUAGCUACACAUUUUCCAAACCAGUUUGAAUCUACGGUGACAACAUGUACGCAGUUUUCAUUAUUUUGAAGCUGUUUACAUGCAGCAUUUCCUGUGCUUAAAUAAAGAUUUGUUUCUUUUAUCAUGA